rnacentral:rRNA from 1 species
UACGUAGGGUGCAAGCGUUGUCCGGAAUUAUUGGGCGUAAAGAGCUCGUAGGCGGUUUGUCGCGUCGAAAUGUGAAAACCCGGGGGCUCAACCCCGGGCCUGCAUUCGAUACGGGCAGACUAGAGUUCGGUAGGGGAGUCUGGAAUUCCUGGUGUAGCGGUGAAAUGCGCAGAUAUCAGGAGGAACACCGGUGGCGAAGGCGGACUCUGGGCCGAUACUGACGCUGAGGAGCGAAAGCGUGGGGAGCAAACAGGG